GUGAACGCUGGCGGUAGGCCUAACACAUGCAAGUCGAACGGCAGCACAGUAAGAGCUUGCUCUUACGGGUGGCGAGUGGCGGACGGGUGAGGAAUACAUCGGAAUCUACUUUUUCGUGGGGGAUAACGUAGGGAAACUUACGCUAAUACCGCAUACGACCUACGGGUGAAAGCAGGGGAUCUUCGGACCUUGCGCGAUUGAAUGAGCCGAUGUCGGAUUAGCUAGUUGGCGGGGUAAAGGCCCACCAAGGCGACGAUCCGUAGCUGGUCUGAGAGGAUGAGCAGCCACACUGGAACUGAGACACGGUCCAGACUCCGACGGGAGGCAGCAGUGGGGAAUAUUGGACAAUGGGCGCAAGCCUGAUCCAGCCAUACCGCGUGGGUGAAGAAGGCCUUCGGGUUGUAAAGCCCUUUUGUUGGGAAAGAAAAGCAGCAGGUUAAUACCCCGCUGUUCUGACGGUACCCAAAGAAUAAGCACCGGCUAACUUCGU
rnacentral:rRNA from 1 species